CUAGCGACUACAGUAGUUUGAUCCUGGCUCAGGACGAACGCUGGCGGCACGCUUAACACAUGCAAGUCGAACGGUGAAAAGAAGCUUGCUUCUUGGAUCAGUGGCGGACGGGUGAGUAACACGUGAGCAACCUGCCUUUAAGAGGGGGAUAACGUCCGGAAACGGACGCUAGUACCGCAUAACAUAUGGGAUUCGCAUGUUUUCCAUAUCAAAGAUUUAUCGCUUAGAGAUGGGCUCGCGUCUGAUUAGCUAGUUGGUGAGGUAACGGCUCACCAAGGCGACGAUCAGUAGCCGGACUGAGAGGUUGAACGGCCACAUUGGGACUGAGACACGGCCCAG
rnacentral:rRNA from 1 species